CCUACGGGGGGCAGCAAUUAGGAAUCUUGCGCAAUGGGCGAAAGCCUGACGCAGCGACGCCGCGUGACUGAUGAAGUCUUUCGGGUUGUAAAGGUCUUUUCUGAAGGAAGAACACAAUGACGGUACUUCAGGAAUAAGCCCCGGCUAACUACGUGCCAGCAGCCGCGGUAAUACGUAGGGGGCGAGCGUUGUCCGAAUUCACUGGGCGUAAAGCGCGCGUAGGCGGACUAUUAAGUUGAUGGUGAAAUCCCGGGGCUCAACCUCGGAACUGCAUUCAAAACUGAUAGACUUGAGGUUGGGAGAGGGAAUUGGAAUUCCAGGUGUAGCGGUGAAAUGCGUAGAUAUCUGGAGGAACACCCAUGGCGAAGGCAGAUUCCUGGCCAUAUACUGACGCUGAGGUACGAAAGCCAGGGUAGCGAACG
rnacentral:rRNA from 1 species